rnacentral:rRNA from 1 species
UUAAGCAUAUCAAUAAGCGGAGGAAAAGAAACCAACAGGGAUUGCCCCAGUAACGGCGAGUGAAGCGGCAACAGCUCAAAUUUGAAAUCUGGCCCCCCGCGGGCCCGAGUUGUACUUUGGAGAGGACGCUUCUGGCGCGGCGCCGUCCGAGUUCCCUGGAACGGGACGCCGGAGAGGGUGAGAGCCCCGUACGGGCGGCCGCCUAGCCUCUGCGAAGCUCCUUCGACGAGUCGAGUAGUUUGGGAAUGCUGCUCAAAAUGGGAGGUAAAUUUCUUCUAAAGCUAAAUACCGGCCAGAGACCGAUAGCGCACAAGUAGAGUGAUCGAAAGAUGAAAAGCACUUUGAAAAGAGGGUCAAACAGUACGUGAAAUUGUUGAAAGGGAAGCGCCUGUGGCCAGACUUGCGCCCCGCGGACCACCCGGCGCCUCGCGCGCCGGGGCACGCCAGCGGGGCGCAGGCCAGCAUCGGCUCUCUCGGGGGGACAAAGGCCGCGGGAACGUAGCGCCCUCGCGGCGUGUUAUAGCCCGCGGCGCCAUGCCCCCGGGGGGGCCGAGGACCGCGCUCCGGCAAGGAUGCUGGCGUAAUGGCCACCGGCGACCCGUCUUGAAACACGGACCAAGGAGUCAAGCAUUGGGGCGAGUGUCUGGGUGGCAAGCCCGCACGCGGAAUGAAAGUGAACGCAGGUGGGAGCUUCGGCGCACCACCGACCGAUCCUGAUGUCCUCGGAUGGAUUUGAGUAGGAGCCCCGCCGCUUGGACCCGAAAGAUGGUGAACUAUGCCUGUAUAGGGUGAAGCCAGAGGAAACUCUGGUGGAGGCCCGCAGCGGUUCUGACGUGCAAAUCGAUCGUCAAAUAUGGGCAUGGGGGCGAAAGACUAAUCGAACCAUCUAGUAGCUGGUUACCGCCGAAGUU